rnacentral:rRNA from 1 species
AUAAAGAGUCUUACCUGCCCUAUGAUGAAUUAAAUGGCCGCGGUACUCUGACCGUGCAAAGGUAGCAUAAUAAUUUGCCUCAUAAUUGGAGGCUGGAAUGAAUGGUUUGACAAGAAUAUAGCUGUCUCUAUAUAAUUAAAUAGAAUUUGAUUUAUAGGUGAAGAAGCCUAUAUAAAAAAGAAAGACGAGAAGACCCUGUCGAGCUUUAAAGUAGUAUAUAAAGUAAAUCUACAUAUUAAUAAAACAGAAUAUUAUAUAAAAUUUUAGUUGGGGCGACUAAGGAACAAACAAAGCUUCCUAUUUUAUUUAAUUAUUUACAGAUAUUGAUCCAGAUAUUUUGACCAAAGAAAUAUAGUUACCGCAGGGAUAACAGCAUUAUCUUUUUUGAGAGUUCGAAUCGAAAAAAGGGAUUGUGACCUCGAUGUUGGACCAAAGUAUCCUAAAGGUGCAGUAGCCUUUAAGGGUUGGUCUGUUCGACCAUUAAUAUUUUA